rnacentral:rRNA from 1 species
UACGUAGGGACCGAGCGUUGUCCGGAUUCAUUGGGCGUAAAGAGCUCGUAGGCGGCUGUUCAAGUCGAACGUGAAAACUCGGGGCUUAACCCCGAGCCUGCAGUGGAUACGGGCAGACUAGAGGUAGGUAGGGGAGAAUGGAAUUCCCGGUGUAGCGGUGAAAUGCGCAGAUAUCGGGAGGAACACCGGUGGCGAAGGCGGUUCUCUGGGCCUUACCUGACGCUGAGGAGCGAAAGCGUGGGGAGCGAACAGG